rnacentral:rRNA from 1 species
AUUGAACGCUGGCGGCAUGCCUUACACAUGCAAGUCGAACGGCAGCACGGGAGCAAUCCUGGUGGCGAGUGGCGAACGGGUGAGUAAUAUAUCGGAACGUGCCCAGUCGUGGGGAUAACGUAGCGAAAGCUACGCUAAUACCGCAUACGAUCUAUGGAUGAAAGCGGGGGAUCGCAAGACCUCGCGCGAUUGGAGCGGCCGAUAUCAGAUUAGGUAGUUGGUGAGGUAAAGGCUCACCAAGCCGACGAUCUGUAGCUGGUCUGAGAGGACGACCAGCCACACUGGGACUGAGACACGGCCCAGACUCCUACGGGAGGCAGCAGUGGGGAAUUUUGGACAAUGGGCGCAAGCCUGAUCCAGCAAUGCCGCGUGCAGGAUGAAGGCCUCGGUUGGUAACUGCUUUGUUACGGAACGAACGGUACGAGGCUCUAAUACAGUUUGCUAAUGACGGUACCGUAA